rnacentral:rRNA from 1 species
UACGGAGGGAGCUAGCGUUGUUCGGAAUUACUGGGCGUAAAGCGUACGUAGGCGGUUAUGUAAGACAGAUGUGAAAUCCCAGGGCUCAACCUUGGAACUGCAUUUGUGACUGCAUAGCUAGAGUACGGUAGAGGGGGAUGGAAUUCCGCGUGUAGCAGUGAAAUGCGUAGAUAUGCGGAGGAACACCGAUGGCGAAGGCAAUCCCCUGGACCUGUACUGACGCUCAUGCACGAAAGCGUGGGGAGCAAACAGG